rnacentral:rRNA from 1 species
GACGAACGCUGGCGGCGUGCUUAACACAUGCAAGUCGAACGGUGAAAGCGGAGCUUGCUCCGCUGGAUCAGUGGCGAACGGGUGAGUAACACGUGGGCAACCUGCCCCUCACUUCGGGAUAACUCCGGGAAACCGGGGCCAAUACCGGAUAUGACCUCCUUGGGCAUCCUUGGAGGUGGAAAGUUUUUCGGUGAGGGAUGGGCCCGCGGCCUAUCAGCUUGUUGGUGAGGUAGUGGCUCACCAAGGCGACGACGGGUAGCCGGCCUGAGAGGGCGACCGGCCACACUGGGACUGAGACACGGCCCAGACUCCUACGGGAGGCAGCAGUGGGGAAUAUUGCGCAAUGGGCAAAAGCCUGACGCAGCAACGCCGCGUGCGGGAUGACGGCCUUCGGGUUGUAAACCGCUUUCAGCAGGGAAGAAGCCGCAAGGUGACGGUACCUGCAGAAGAAGCACCGGCUAACUACGUGCCAGCCGCCGCAGUAA